UGCGCAGGCGGGGAUGUAAGUCAGUGGCGAAAUACUGCCGCUCAACGGUAGAACUGCCAUUGAUACUGCAUCUCUUGAGUAUGGUUGAGGUAGGCGGAAUGUGUUGUGUAGCGGUGAAAUGCAUAGAUAUGACACAGAACGCCAAUUGCGAAGGCAGCUUACUAAACCAUUACUGACGCUGAGGCACGAAAGCGUGGGGAGCGAACAGGAUUAGAUACCCUGGUAGUCC
rnacentral:rRNA from 1 species